AAACCUAAAUGACCUGAAACAGCAGAAGUCUACGGAAAUCCCCCGCAGGUUCGACAGAGAGCAGGCGGAGCAGACUGUGACUGGCUCUCGGCUCCUCAGGAAAGUGUGUCUCUCAGAGUCAGAUCAGGAAGUAGAGAUCAGUGGUGUGAUCCGUGCGAAUCCAAACCGAAAGCAGCAGAGGCGCCCCGCUUUAGUCCGCGGUUUACAGCACAGGUCUUGUAUUCAAGUGUGUGACAAACAAAUGGAUGGAUGUCAUGCAGUCUGUUCCUGAAGGGGCAUUUUAUGUAUCUUCAGUCAAAAAAGACGUCUUCCGAAUAACACGGCAGCUUGCAGCCUGAAAUAUGUCGUCGUACUGGUACGUCAAAGAGACUGCGGAUCCAGGCGGCAGCACCAGCAGCAUGGAGGAGCAAGCUGGCGUUCCGGCGAUGGGAGCCAAGCAGUCGGCGGUUGGCAGCGUUCCCUUGAGUCAUUCGCCCACUCUGAAGAACAUCCAAGAGGCCUAUACGGACGGCGAGGACCAGAGGGCACGCGAGCUAAUCCGGCUUUCCUGCGAGAAUAACAGCGGAGCAGGACCAGAUGGGGUGAGUUUGAUCAUUCGCUCACUUUAUACUCUCAUU
rnacentral:lncRNA from 1 species